rnacentral:rRNA from 1 species
GCCUAACCGUAAACUUUAAAUUACACCUAUAUCGCCCGGGAACUACGAGCAAAGCUUAAAACCCAAAGGACUUGACGGUACCCCACAUCCACCUAGAGGAGCCUGUCCUGUAAUCGAUAACCCCCGUUCAACCUCACCAUUUUUAGCCUAUCAGCCUGUAUACCUCCGUCGUCAGCUUACCACGUGAGCGACUUCCAGUGAGCCCAACGCCCAUACGCCAACACGUCAGGUCAAGGUGCAGCAGAUAAAAUGGGAAGAGAUGGGCUACACUCUCUAUUCUAGAAAAUACGGAAGACUAUUUAUGAAACCUAGUCGGAAGGCGGAUUUAGUAGUAAAAAGAGAUAAGAGCGCUCUUUUUAACAUGGCACUGGGGUGUGUACACACCGCCCGUCACCCUCUUCAAAGCUAAUAUGAAGUUCCUAACACACUUAAGCACCACAGAAGAGGCAAGUCGUAACAUGGUAAGUAUACCGGAAGGUGUGCUUGGAAA